rnacentral:lncRNA from 1 species
CAAAACAUUCCAUUUUAUCAUUAUUAAUCAAUGAAUGAGUCAAUCUGUCAAUGUCAAAGAUUUAAUUGGACUUAUAAGUAGUGAUUAUCUAUCUUUUUAACAAGGAUAUCGCACAAGACAUCUUCUUGUGAUAUAAUAUCACAUGCAGUUGCUUCACCAGUCAGACACUCACCGUCGCUUUACCAAAUCCUUCUACACUACAAUGUGCUAUCUUCCGAUCCUUCCAGAUUUCCAAUGUGCCUCGCCGCAGUAUGCCUUCCAAAACCAAUACACAUCUUAGAUUUGACUCUUAAAUCCACCCUUUCGAAUGAGGAGUGGUCACCACUCACCACACACCACUUGAUCUGGAAAGAAAAGAAACAGAACAGAACAGUAAUGCAUGCAUGUUAUUGGAUAAAAUUGCCGGCAGCCUAUAUAAUUUAAUAUCUACGUCUAACGCGGCUAUAUUGGGUCAACUUUCUCCUAUAAGAUCACAGGAACUGUUCAUAAUAGGAUAUUAGGAUUGGGUGGUAUCGCAGAAAAGGAAACCAAUAAUCGAAAUGUGUGGAGGUGCAAUACUCGCUGACAUAUUUCCAUCACGAACUGACGCUUUCCGGUCCAACCUGCAACGCAAUGGUCUAUUCUCUUCCGGCUCUUAUGAGGCUAAGGCAAAGCCACAGCCACAGCCACAGCCAGAAAAAGGUAACCAACCAACCAACAAACAAACAAACCUAUCUUAAUCUUCUCUGUGCAAUAGUGUGCAGUUGUGUUUGUGUCAUAUAUCGGAAUAAGUAUAUAUGUUCUGAAUUACAGGUAAGAAAAGAGUGAGAAAGAACAUGUACCGUGGGAUUCGGCAGAGACCGUGGGGGAAGUGGGCUGCGGAGAUUCGUGAUCCGACGAAAGGAGUUAGAGUCUGGCUUGGAACCUUCAACACUGCAGAAGAGGCAGCGCGUGCGUACGAUAGAGAAGCUCGUCGGAUCCGUGGCAAGAAGGCUAAGGUCAACUUUCCCAUCGAGGAACGACAGACGACAGCUCUGCUAAAACCAUCACAACACCAGCAGACUUAUCUUGCACCGCUGUCAGCUAAUAGAGUUUUGACAGAGGAGGUGAUCAGGAAGAUCCCUGAGGAGCUCCUAGCGAUGGAGUCUUACAUGAAAUUUCUCGAUGAGGAGCCAUAUAUGGGUAGUGCAGGCUCAUCUGCUUCCAACACUGUGAGCGCCGGUGAGAGUGCGCAAGACCUGCCACCCGCCGCCACUUCUUCUCUGGAGCUCUGGAGCUUUGAUGAUUCAGACCCCUUGACUCUUAACGCUUACUAGGAAAUAAGAUCUGUGUUUUAUU